AGAAUCAACGCUGGCGGCGUGCCUAACACAUGCAAGUCGAACGAGAAAGUGGAGCAAUCCAUGAGUAAAGUGGCGACCGGGUGAGUAACACGUGACUAACCUACCCUCGAGUGGGGAAUAACUCCGGGAAACCGGGGCUAAUACCGCAUAACAUCUUCGGAACGCGAGUUCUGUUGAUCAAAGGAGCAAUUCGCUUGAGGAGGGAGUCGCGGCUGAUUAGCUAGUUGGCGGGGUAAUGGCCCACCAAGGCUUAGAUCGGUAGCCGGCCUGAGAGGGCGCACGGCCACACUGGAACUGAAACACGGUCCAGACUCCUACGGGAGGCAGCAGUGGGGAAUUUUGCGCAAUGGGGGAAACCCUGACGCAGCAACGCCGCGUGGAGGAUGAAGUCCCUUGGGAUGUAAACUCCUUUCGACCAAGACGAUAAUGACGGUACUGGUGGAAGAAGCACCGGCUAACUCUGUGCCAGCAGCCGC
rnacentral:rRNA from 1 species